rnacentral:rRNA from 1 species
UACGAAGGGUGCAAACGUUGCUCGGAAUUAUUGGGCGUAAAGCGCACGUAGGCGGCUUAGCAAGUUGGAUGUGAAAGCCCUCGGCUUAACCAAGGAAGUGCAUCCAAAACUGCUGAGCUUGAGUAGUUAAGAGGAUCGCGGGAUUCCCGGUGUAGAGGUGAAAUUCGUAGAUAUCGGGAGGAACACCAGUGGCGAAGGCGGCGAUCUGGGAACAUACUGACGCUGAGGUGCGAAAGCGUGGGGAGCAAACAGG